GACGAACGCUGGCGGCGUGCUUAACACAUGCAAGUCGAACGGAAAGGCCCUGCUUUUGUGGGGUGCUCGAGUGGCGAACGGGUGCGUAACACGUGAGUAACCUGCCCUUGACUUUGGGAUAACUUCACGAAAGUGGGGCUAAUACAGUAUAGGAGAUCCCGUAGCAUGGUGAGGGUUGGAACGUCUCGGCGGUUGGGGCUGGAUGCGCGGCUUAUCAGCUUGUUGGUGGGGUAGUGGCUUACCCAGGCAUUGGCGGGUCGCCGGCCUGAGAGGGUGACCGGGCACCUGGCGCCUGCGAUACGGAGCAGUCGCCAACGGUAGGCAGCGGUCGGGAGUAUUGCCCAGUGGGCCGGAGCCUGAUGCGGAGGCGUCGCGGGCGUGAUGACGGUCUUUGGGUUGUGAACCGCUUUCGGUUGUGACGAAGCGGGUGUGACGGUAAUGGGUAAAGAAGCACCGGCUAACUUCGUG
rnacentral:rRNA from 1 species